ACGCUAGCUACAGGCUUAACACAUGCAAGUCGAGGGGAAACGGCAUUGAGUGCUUGCACUCUUUGGACGUCCACCGGCGCACGGGUGAGUAACGCGUAUCCAACCUUCCCAUUACUGUGGGAUAACCUGCCGAAAGGCAGACUAAUACCGCAUAGUCUUCGAUGACGGCAUCAGAUUUGAAGUAAAGAUUUAUCGGUAAUGGAUGGGGAUGCGUCUGAUUAGCUUGUUGGCGGGGUAACGGCCCACCAAGGCUACGAUCAGUAGGGGUUCUGAGAGGAAGGUCCCCCACAUUGGAACUGAGACACGGUCCAAACUCCUACGGGAGGCAGCAGUGAGGAAUAUUGGUCAAUGGACGGAAGUCUGAACCAGCCAAGUAGCGUGCAGGAUGACGGCCCUAUGGGUUGUAAACUGCUUUUGUAUGGGGAUAAAGUUAGGGACGUGUCCCUAUUUGCAGGUACCAUACGAAUAAGGACCGGCUAAUUCCGUGCCAGCAGCCGCGGUAAUACGGAAGGUCCAGGCGUUAUCCGGAUUUAUUGGGUUUAAAGGGAGCGUAGGCUGGAGAUUAAGUGUGUUGUGAAAUGUAGACGCUCAACGUCUGAAUUGCAGCGCAUACUGGUUUCCUUGAGUACGCACAACGUUGGCGGAAUUCGUCGUGUAGCGGUGAAAUGCUUAGAUAUGACGAAGAACUCCGAUUGCGAAGGCAGCUGACGGGAGCGCAACUGACGCUUAAGCUCGAAGGUGCGGGUAUCAAACAGGAUUAGAUACCCUGGUAGUCCGCACAGUAAACGAUGGAUGCCCGCUGUUGGUACCUGGUAUCAGCGGCUAAGCGAAAGCAUUAAGCAUCCCACCUGGGGAGUACGCCGGCAACGGUGAAACUCAAAGGAAUUGACGGGGGCCCGCACAAGCGGAGGAACAUGUG
rnacentral:rRNA from 1 species